rnacentral:rRNA from 1 species
GAGUUUGAUCAUGGCUCAGGACGAACGCUGGCGGCGUGCUUAACACAUGCAAGUCGAACGAGGCAGCAAUGCCUAGUGGCGGACGGGUGAGUAACGCGUAGGUAACCUGCCUUAUAGUGGGGGAUACCCAGCCGAAAGGUUGGCUAAUACCGCAUAAGCUCAUUUCUUGGAAUAGGGAUGAGGAAAGAUUUAUUGCUAUAAGAGGGGCCUGCGUUCGAUUAGCUAGUUGGUGAGGUAAUGGCUCACCAAGGCGACGAUCGAUAGCUGGUCUGAGAGGACGAUCAGCCACACUGGAACUGAGACACGGUCCAGACUCCUACGGGAGGCAGCAGUGGGGAAUUUUCCGCAAUGGGCGAAAGCCUGACGGAGCAACGCCGCGUGGAUGAUGAAGUCUUUCGGGACGUAAAAUCCUUUCAGCAGGGACGAAGCGAGUGACGGUACCUGCAGAAGAAGCAUCGGCUAACUACGUGCCAGCAGCCGCGGUAAUACGUAGGAUGCGAGCGUUGUCCGGAAUUAUUGGGCGUAAAGAGAACGUAGGCGGUUUCUUAAGUUUGGGCUUAAAGACUGGGGCUCAACCCCAGGAGUGGCUCGAAAACUGAGAGACUAGAGGAUGGCAGAGGAAAGUGGAAUUCCCAGUGUAGCGGUGAAAUGCGUAGAUAUUGGGAGGAACACCAGUGGCGAAAGCGACUUUCUGGGCCAUUCCUGACGCUGAGGUUCGAAAGCUCGGGGAGCAAACAGGAUUAGAUACCCUGGUAGUCCGAGCCGUAAACGAUGGAUACUAAGUGUCGAGGGUAUCAACUCCAUCGGUGCUGUAGCUAACGCGUUAAGUAUCCCGCCUGGGGAGUACGGUCGCAAGACUGAAACUCAAAGGAAUUGACGGGGGCCCGCACAAGCGGUGGAGCAUGUGGUUUAAUUCGAUGCAACGCGAAGAACCUUACCAAGGCUUGACAUGUAGGGAAUCUGGUGGAAACACCGGAGUGCCGCAAGGAGCCCUAACAC